CAGGACGAACGCUGGCGGCGUGCCUAAUACAUGCAAGUCGAACGGUCUUUCUAUGGAAGCUUGCUUCCACUGAGAAGAUAGUGGCGAACGGGUGAGUAACACGUGGGUAACCUGCCCAUAAGAGGGGGGAUAACAUCCGGAAACGGGUGCUAAUACCGCAUAGUUUUCUUGAUCGCAUGAUCGGGAAAGGAAAGACGGCCUUUGUGCUGUCGCUUAUGGAUGGACCCGCGGCGUAUUAGUUAGUUGGUGAGGUAACGGCUCACCAAGACGAUGAUACGUAGCCGACCUGAGAGGGUGAUCGGCCACAUUGGGACUGAGACACGGCCCAAACUCCUACGGGAGGCAGCAGUAGGGAAUCUUCCGCAAUGGACGAAAGUCUGACGGAGCAACGCCGCGUGAGUGAAGAAAGGUUUUCGGAUCGUAAAACUCUGUUGUCAGAGAAGAACAAGUUGGAGAGUAACUGCUCCAGCCUUGACGGUAUCUGACCAGAAAGCCACGGCUAACUACGUGCCAGCCGCCGC
rnacentral:rRNA from 1 species